AAGAGCCUGGGAAACGCAGUAGGUUGUGGAAUUAUGAAGAUGUUCAUCAUGUGCUAACUCAAAAUACGGUGCGAUAUGUUCAUGACCUUCUUUUUCAUAUGUAAAUCUUUAGAGUAAACAACUUUAACUUUGAUCAAAAUGCAAUUCAUAGAAACAUGCAUUAACUUUAUAAUGUUAAAUAAGAUUCAGGAUAUCUACAGUCACAUAAUUUGAACUAUUUGUUAUCCAGGCUACGGAAGCUGUUGAAAGCAUAAUCCUUGACCUUUCAUUCUCAAAACCAAAAGUGGUAUACUUCAGUUCCGAAGCUUUUGUUAAAAUGACGAAAUUAAGAUUGCUCAAAAUCCACGGCGACAAUGGAUAUUCAUGUGAGAAUUUAAGGUUUGUUCUGCAUGAGUUAAGAAGUCUCAUAUGGAAGCAUUUCCCCCUAAAGUCUUUACCGUCCAAUUUUAUUGCGAAGAAUCUUGUUGAGCUUGACAUGCAAAAUAGUCUCAUUGAACAUCUUUGGGAAGGAGCCAAGGUAAAAACUUCACUUGCAUAUAUUUCUUUUAAAUGGUUUAAUUCUUAGAUGCCUUACCAUAUACCUUGUUUUCCUUGAUGUGUUAUACCAGCCUCUGGAAAAUUUGAAAAUUAUCAACUUAACAAGUUCUCCUCACCUGAAGAAAACUCCUGACUUCACGGAGACGAAAAAUCUUGAGAAGGCAGUUUUUCGAAGUUGUACAAGUUUAUUUGAGGUUCACCCAUCCAUUUCAUCUCUCAAAAAGCUGGUUCUUUUGGAUUUGGAAUAUUGCAUAAAUCUUAAGAUUUUUCCAAGCAAGAUUGUUAUGAAAUCUCUUAGAACCCUUAAACUUUCAUGGUGCGAAAACCUCGAUAAGUUUCCCGAAGUUUCAGAUGUUAUGCAGGAUCUAUCAGAGCUUUAUUUAGAUUAUACUGAAAUUAAAGAACUGCCCUCGUCAAUUUGUAAUCUUACGAGGCUUGUUACCUUGAAUCUAAACGGUUGCAAAAAGUUUAAGAGUCUUCCAAGGCGUAUUUCUCACUUGAAAUCUCUUAAAAGCCUCCAUGCUUCUCAAUGCUCAAGUCUUGAGAAGUUUCCAAAAAUUUCAGAGGCUAUGAAUAAUCUAUCUGAGCUUUAUUUGGGUGACACUGCAAUUAAGGAGCUGCCUGCUUCUAUUUUGAAUCUCACCAGUGUUGUUACUUUGAAUCUGAAUGAUUGCAGAGAACUUGAGAGUCUUCCAAGCAGCAUUUCUCACAUGAAAUCUCUUCAAUGCCUUGAUGUUUCUGGAUGCUCAAAGCUUGAGAAGUUUCCAGAAAUUUCAGAGGUUAUGAAGAAGCUAUCUGUGCUUUGUUUGGGUGGCACUGGAAUUAAGGAGCUGCCUGCUUCUAUUUUAAAUCUCACCAGUGUUGUUACUUUGAAUCUGAAUGAUUGCAGAGAACUGGAGAGUCUUCCAAGCAGCAUUUCUCACAUGAAAUCUCUUGAAUACCUUGAUGUUUCUAGAUGCACAAAGCUUGAGAAGUUUCCAGAAAUUUCAGAGGUUAUGAAAAAGCUAUCUGGGCUUUAUUUGGGUGGCACUACAAUUAAAGAGCUGCCUGCUUCUAUUUUAAAUCUCACCAGCCUUGUUACUUUGAAGCUGAAUGGUUGCAGAGAACUUGAGAGUCUUCCAAGCAGUAUUUCUCACAUGAAAUCUCUUCAAUACCUUGAUGUUUCUAGAUGCUCAAAGCUUGAGAAGUUUCCAGAAAUUUCAGAGGUUAUGAAGAAGCUAUCUGGGCUUUAUUUGGGUGGCACUACAAUUAAAGAGCUGCCUGCUUCUAUUUUAAAUCUCACCAGCCUUGUUACUUUGAAGCUAAAUGAUUGCAGAGAACUUGAGAUUCUUCCAAGCAGCAUUUCUUACAUGAAAUCUCUUCAACGCCUUGAUGUUUCUGGAUGCUCAAAGCUCAAGAAGUUUCCAGAAAUUUCGGAGGUUAUGAUGAAGCUAAUUGAGCUUUGUUUGGGUGGCACUGCAAUUAAAGAGCUGCCUGCUUCUAUUUUAAAUCUCACCAGCCUUGUUACUUUGAAGCUAAAUGAUUGCAGAGAAAUUGAGAGUCUUCCAAGCAGCAUUUCUCACAUGAAAUCUCUUGAAUACCUUGAUGUUUCUGGAUGCUCAAAGCUCGAGAAGUUUUCAGAAAUUUCAGAGGUUAUGAAGAAGCUAUCUGUGCUUUGUUUGGGUGGCACUGCAAUUAAGGAGCUGCCUGCUUCUAUUUUAAAUCUCACCAGUCUUGUUACUUUGAAUCUGAAUGAUUGCAGAGAACUGGAGAGUCUUCCAAGCAGCAUUUCUCACAUGAAAUCUCUUGAAUACCUUGAUGUUUCUAGAUGCUCAAAGCUUGAGAAGUUUCCAGAAAUUUCAGAGGUUAUGAAAAAGCUAUUAGGGCUUUAUUUGGGUGGCACUACAAUUAAAGAGCUGCCUGCUUCUAUUUUAAAUCUCACCAGUCUUGUUACUUUGAAUCUGAAUGAUUGCAGAGAACUGGAGAGUCUUCCAAACAACAUUUCUCACAUGAAAUCUCUUGAAUACCUUGAUGUUUCUAGAUGCUCAAAGCUUGAGAAGUUUCCAGAAAUUUCAGAGGUUAUGAAGAAGCUAUCUGGGCUUUAUUUGGGUGGCACUACAAUUAAAGAGCUGCCUGCUUCUAUUUUAAAUCUCACUAGUCUUGUUACUUUGAAGCUUAAUAAUUGCAGAGAACUUGAGAGUCUUCCAAGCAGCAUUUCUCACAUGAAAUCUCUUGAAUACCUUGAUGUUUCUGGAUGCUCAAAGCUCAAGAAGUUUCCAGAAAUUUCAAAGGUUAUGAAGAAGCUAUCUGAGUUUUAUUUUGGUGGCACUGCAAUUAUGGAACUGCCUGCAUCACUUUAAAUUCUCACCAGUCUUGUUACCUUGAAGCUGAAUGACUGUAGAGAACUUGAGUUUUCCAAGCAGCAUUUCUCACUUGAAAUCCCUUAAAAUACAUUGAUGUUUUAGGAUGCUCAAAUCUUGAGAAGUUUUCAGAAGUUUUCAGAAAUUUCAGGAUGCUCAAAUCUCAAGAUUCUGCCAAGCAGCAUCUGUCGACUCUAGUCCCUUAGAUAUGUUUGUCUUUCUGGUUGCAUAAGGUUUGAGGUAUUUCCAAGUAUUGAAGAAAUUAUGGAAGGAUUAAGAGAGCUUCACUUGGAUGGAACAUCUAUUAAAGAACUUUCCCUGUCAAUUGAAUAUCUUCAAGGGCUGGUGUUAUUAAAUCUGAGAAACUGCAAAAACCUUGUUCAUCUUCCAGACAAUAUCUGUAAUUUGGGAUGCCUGAGAGAUCUCAAUCUCUGCGGGUGCUCAAACCUUUUUAAGUUGGCUGUGAACUUGGAGAAGAUAGAAUCCUUGUGGGACGCUGGAGUAGAAAUUGUUGAGCACAGGGAUUCUAUUCUAUUCUUUUAACUUGUGAAUUGUAAUAUAUAAUAUACAUACUCCCAAUCCCUGUUUUACUUUUGGACACGCUUCAGAUGUUUUACGCAGCGAAUAUAGAGAAAUGUGGGCACUGUUUUCACAAUGUUCUCUGUUCUUCUUGGUGUGCUCUGCUUCCAUGAUGUGUCUUGAAUUUCUUGGAAUAGAGGACUGUCGUGCUCAUAAAUUCUUCUGGAGAAAAUAAUUACUAUACAGAAGCAAUAUCUCAAAUUGGAAGCUUGCAGGAAACUGCAAUCGAUACAAGAGCUUUCACCAAGUAUAACUUACAUGCGCCUGAUUUCACAUUUUUGGAAACAGGUACAACUUUCAACACCAUGAUGAACUCCCUGAGCCGAAAUACACAUGUCAAUACCAUGAUAAUGAAGAGUGCUUUCUGAAUUUUGAUCACAAUGGUUAACUGCGCUAGUGAAGAGAAAGUUACAUGCAACUGGAAUGUUAAUGUAGCGGUGCACAAAACUUGUCCCAUUGUGUUUUUAAUUUUUAAUUUCCACAUGGAUGUCGUGUUAUUGAGUUUAGGACACCGAUCACCCUGGCAUCCCCAAUACAAGUAAGUUCUUCAUGUGUAGGCAUGCCAAGUCCAUACUUGCAGAUCACCGAGAAUCAGUUUCAUUCAUAUUUUCUUGCAUUUGCCACAAUAACUACAUUGGUAAUUGCAGGCACCAACCUGUAUUUUCAAUUUGCAAUAACUACAUUCAUAAUUUGGGAUUUUUUAUUUUAUUUUAACGUUUAGUUUUAAUUCUUUGUCAUGUUUUCCUAGCAAAUGUAUGACUAUGUAUACGGUUUGCACUUGCUCUUGAUCUUACUCAUACAAUAAUGUUUUUCUUAUUCCACAGGGAUGAUGUGAAGCUCAUUGAGGAAAUUGUAAAAGAUAUUUUUCAGAAAUUGAUCCGCACCUCAUCAAGUAAAGACGAUGACUUGGUUGAAAUGGAUUCCCGCAUGCAUGAAAUGGAGUUGCUAUUACAACCCUCUCCUGAAAUGGACGGCGUUCGUGUUAUUGGAAUAUGGGGUAUGGGUGGUAUUGGUAAAACGACCAUAGCUAGAGCUUUUUAUGAGAAAAUUGCUUGUCAAUUUGAAGCUUGUUGCUUUCUUGACAAUGUCAAGGAAGAGUUCACUUGUGGUGCCGUACAUAUGCAGGAAAAGUUUCUCUCUAGAAUCUUGAAUGAAAAGGUGCAGAGUUUAGGCAUUUUGGAUCAAGGUUACAGAACGAUAUUGAGAAGGCUACUGAUGAAAAAGGUUUUGAUUGUUCUUGGUGAUGUUGACGACUUAUUUCAAAUUGAAACCCUACAUGGAAAGCAACAUUCAUUUGGCGAUGGGAGUAGAAUCAUUCUCACCACUAGAGAUAAGCUAGUACUAAGUCGAGCUGAUGCGAUCUACAGCCCCAAGGUUCUAAGUGGUGAUGGAGCUUUGGAACUCUUUAGCCAGUAUGCCUUUAGAACAAAGCAACCCAAAAGCGACUAUGACCAUCUCUCAAGCCGUGCUGUACAAUAUGCUCAAGGUCUCCCUUUAGCACUUAAAGUCUUGGGGGCUUUUCUUUAUGACAAAUCUGUACAGGAGUGGGAAGAGGUGCUAGAGAAAUUAAAGAAAAUCCCGCAAAGGGGAAUUCAUGAUGUGCUAAGAACAAGCUUCGAUGGACUGGAUGUUUCUGAGAAGGGCAUAUUUCUGGAUAUUGCAUGUUUCUUUAAAGGAGCGGAAAAAGACAACGCAACAAAGGUUCUGGACAGUUGUGGCUUUUAUCCCCAUACUGGGCUAAGAGUUCUAAUUGAUCGAGCUCUUAUAACUGUCUCACGGGAAACACUGAAGAUGCAUGAUUUACUAGAGGAAAUGGGUCGGGAAAUCGUCCGCCAAGAAUCUAUUAAAGAGCCUGGGAAACGCAGUAGGUUGUGGAAUUAUGAAGAUGUUCAUCAUGUGCUAACUCAAAAUACGGUGCGAUAUGUUCAUGACCUUCUUUUUCAUAUGUAAAUCUUUAGAGUAAACAACUUUAACUUUGAUCAAAAUGCAAUUCAUAGAAACAUGCAUUAACUUUAUAAUGUUAAAUAAGAUUCAGGAUAUCUACAGUCACAUAAUUUGAACUAUUUGUUAUCCAGGCUACGGAAGCUGUUGAAAGCAUAAUCCUUGACCUUUCAUUCUCAAAACCAAAAGUGAUAUACUUCAGUUCCGAAGCUUUUGUUAAAAUGACGAAAUUAAGAUUGCUCAAAAUCCACGGCGACAAUCGAUAGUCAUGUGAGAAUUUAAAGUUUCUUCUGCAUGAGUUAAGAAGUCUCAUAUGGAAGCAUUUCCCCCUAAAGUCUUUACCGUCCAAUUUUAUUGCGAAGAAUCUUGUUGAGCUUGACAUGCAAAAUAGUCUCAUUGAACAUCUUUGGGAAGGAGCCAGGGUAAAAACUUAACUUGCAUAUGUUUCUUUUAAAUGGUUUAAUUCUUAGAUGCCUUACCUUGUUUUCCUUGAUGUGUUAUACCAGCCUCUGGAAAAUUUGAAAAUUAUCAACUUAACAAGUUCUCCUCACCUGAAGCAAACUCCUGACUUCACGGAGACGAAAAAUCUUGAGAAGGCAGUUUUUCGAAGUUGUACAAGUUUAUUUGAGGUUCACCCAUCCAUUUCAUCUCUCAAAAAGCUGGUUCUUUUGGAUUUGGAAUAUUGCAGAAAUCUUAAGAUUUUUCCAAGCAGGAUUGGUAUGAAAUCUCUUAGAAUCCUUAAACUUUCAUGCUGCAAUAACCUCGAUAAGUUUCCCGAAGUUUCAAAUGUUAUGCAGGAUCUAUCGAAGCUUUAUUUAGGUUAUACUGAAAUUAAAGAACUGCCCUCGUCAAUUAGUAAUCUUACGGGGCUUGUUGCCUUGAAUAUAAAAGGUUGCAGAAAACUUGAGAGUCUUCCAAGCAGCAUUUCUCACAUGAAAUCUCUUGAAUACCUUGAUGUUUCUAGAUGCUCAAAGCUUGAGAAGUUUCCAGAAAUUUCAGAGGUUCGCCAUCUGAGCUUUAUUUGGGUGGCACUGCAAUUAAGGAGCUGCCUGCUUCUAUUUUAAAUCUCACCAGUCUUGAUACUUUGAAUCUGAAUGAUUGCAGAGAACUUGAGAGUCUUCCAAGCAGCAUUUCUCACAUGAAAUCUCUUGAAUACCUUUAUGUUUCUGGAUGCUCAAAGCUUGAGAAGUUUCCAGAUAUUUCAGAGGUUAUGAAGAAGCUAUCUAAGCUUUGUUUGGGUGGCAGUGCAAUUAAGGAGCUGCCUACUUCUAUUUUAAAUCUCACAAGUCUUGUUACUUUGAAUUUGAAUGAUUGCAGAGAACUUGAGAGUCUUCCAAGCAGCAUUUCUCACAUGAGCAAAUCCAAGGAUCGAGCAUAAUCCAAGGAAACAGUUUCCAAUGGCUCAAUGAAAUAAGACAUGACACUUUCAAUGCAACAAUAUGGGGUUAUCGGUCCUCUACUAACCCUCAAGUUCAUAAACAUUUCAAAUAUGCAAGUCAAAUCACAUUUCAUGAAAAUAUAGAUAGAUGGAAAAAUAUGAAAGCAAUAAUAUUUAGUAGAAAAACACAUUUAUAAAUUCAUGUCAUAUCCACAAAAUAUACUAACAUGAGGAUUUCAUGGGUAAUCACCAUAUUACAUAUAUUAAAGUCAUUCACUUGGAAGUCCGCACUAUGGCUUCCUAGCACGCCACUUGUUUGAUAAAAUUACUGUGACUACUAUCUUGAACCGUCGUGCUCAGUAUCAGACAUACCUGCGAUUUGGGUAUUGCCAUUUGAGUGCUUCAGUAUCCAAAAUGUAGCUAUUAAGUAUGUUGAGUAUUAUUUGCUUCGAAAAUCCUUCAAUUGUUCCCUUAGUUGUUGUUUUUUGGUUGUUUAUCAUAGACACAGUUGUUUCGAAACCUCUUAAGUUGAUUAUAUUGAUAUUUUCAGGUGAUGUGGAGAUGCGCUUGGUUGAUACAUAUUUCCCAUUUACCGACCCAUCAUUUGAACUUGAGAUGUUUUUCUAUGUAUGCUACUGAGUUCGAUCACUUUGAGGGGAAAAUAAGCAUUUCAUGUCUCUCCUGAUAUGUCAUUCUGUUAGAGGUUCUUUCUUUUUCAUGGACGGUACCUAAGAGUAAUCCAUUAUGCAGAAGAAUGUGGUAUUUCCUUACCACGAACAAGUAAUAACUAACCAGAAUGGUACACACUUACGUAAUACAAGAUAAAAAUUAAGAAAACUAAUGAAAAAGAUUUGAAAACUUUGAGUUUUAAAGAUAAAGACAAAAUAAAUGGUAAAGUGAAUAAUACCAGGUUUGACUUUUUAGUGUAAAAAUGUGAUUUAUCGUUAAAGUGAACAGUACCGCGGGCCUUUCGUUAAAACUCCCAUUUAAAAAUUAGUGUACGGAAUAUUGAUUGUUGGAUAGAGACUAUCAUGAAACAAGUUUACUGCCACCAUGAUGCCUGUGGUCACUCAAGGUCAUGUGCAAGGCUCGUUACAUUGCCUUGUAUAAGUGGCUCGCGAGUCCAAGGUGACAGUGAACCCGUUCCACCUAAGUUAAGGUUAAGCACAAAGACAACAUAUCUCAUAACUAUGACAUCCAAAAUGUAGGGUUCAAGAUGAAGUUGAAAUUCAUAACAACAAAAGAGGUUCUUAGGAUGAUGCCCUUUAUGAGGGUGAUCAAAAUAACAAGUGGAGGACAUGGGCAUCAUUAAAUUUGCAGACCUUUUUUCAUCUGCCUUCAAUAUUCAGAUUCAUCUUUGGUAGUAUUCGUGGUGAAAUACUCAGCUUCAACAACUACAUCCAUCCGGCUACUUUCUUAUUUUUCGACUUGAACUGAUCCUUGGAAAUUGAUUGAGCUUUCCCUAAAACAAAGACAGAAAAAUGGAGAAGAAUAACACGCGUAUAAGUUAUGCAGAUGACAGACCUGAUGGAGCAGAAAGAAACUCACAACCAACAGAAAACUUGCUCACCCGGUGAAAAGGUGCAAUCAGCGGUUUCUCUACCGCGGAAAAUGACUACAUCAUUAAAUGUUCGGUAUUAUUAAUCAACAUGAAAACACACACAUCACCGAUUUCCAGACCAUUGUCUUGCACAAAUGUCAUCCAGCCACUCUGGAAUUUCAGUACAGUUUUGCUAUAUUGGUGUAAUUUGACAGGCCAAGUUCUUCCACCCGAAACACGAAGAAUCACAUUAUCAUGAGUCCUGUUUAGAAGAUGUUCCUGGGCAAACUUAGCUUCCAAAUUCUGAAAUAGAAAGAGAAGCAGGUAAGACUAAAUUUGUGAGUAUUUAGAACGUAAUUUUCUUUAGCUUAAUAGUUUUCAAUACAUACUAGCAGAAGUUGUGGAUUCAUCAUCCUAGGAACCUGAUCAGGUCUUCGUUUUACUAAUUCUUUAGUCCAAGACGAGCCACCAAAUUUCUUCAUGUGGGUUUCUGAAGUGCUAAUGGAACCCACUCUGUUUUUCUUUGUUUUCAGGCAUGGUGGAGAAUCGUCCAAGAUUUCAACACAAUCAUCAUCUUCAUCAGUUUCUUCAGUUUGGGACAUUGGUUUUUCCCCGUCUGCAAGCACACCGCAAAAGAUUGAGGUGACAGGUAGUUAAUCUCUACGGCAAUUCCAUCAACUAAUCAGUUCAAAAAUCAAUAGACAACUUUGUGACACGUUGCAACGUGCAGCUUCUGUAGUGUGGAAAAUAACAACAUCCAUUAAACCCUUGAUGUUGUUAAUCAACGCAAAUACACACACAUCACCAAUUUCCAAAUGACUGUCUUGCACAAAUGUAAUCCAACCAUUCUGGAGUCGGACCAUGUUUUUCUGACGUUUGCUUAAUUUGACAGGCCAAGUUCUUCCAUCCGAAACACGAAGGAUUACUUGAUGAUAAUUCCGCUUAAGAAAGUGUUCCUUGGUAAACUUGGCUCCCAAAUACUGAAAAGAAAGAGAAUCAGGUAAUUUGGAGAGGAUUUGUGUUGUAAUUUGCUUGAGCUUAAUUUUCAGUUUCAAAACUAACACACACACAUAUAUAGAGAUACAAUUAGCAGAACUCGUACAUUAUGUCUCUCUACAAAAAGCUUACCACAUAAUGUGCAUGGAUAUAUGAGGGACUCAUAACAACUGUGCAAGAAGGGUAUUCAGAUUUGAAAGCCUUUGCUCUCUGAAGGGCUCUAUUUGUACCACCUGCCGUAACUGGGUUCAUCUUCCUAAGAACUUGAAGAGUUCUUCGGUUCAUUAUUUUUUCAGUCAAAGACGAGCCACCAAAUUUCUUUAUGCGAUUUUCUGCUGUGCUAACUGAACAUGUUCUGUUUUUCUUGUGAGGCUGUGGUGCUGUCGGUGAUUUCUUCUUUGUUUUCGAGCAUCUUGGGAAAUUGUCCAAGAUUUCAAUGGAAUCAUCAUCUUCAUCAGUUUCUUCCGUUUGGGACAUUGUUUGUUCCCCGUCAACAUCUGCAGGCACAUCAUGAAAGAUGAACGUGAUGGAAAGUUAAUCUCUAUGGUACUUCCAUCAAUUAAUCAGUUCAGAAAUUAAAAGACAACGUACCUGGUGGUGAGAAUGUAUGUGCAGUUCCUGUGGCGCGAAAAAUGACAACUUCAAACACAAGUUUAGUGUCAUCUAUCAACACAAGCACGUACACAUCACCAACUUCCAAAUUAUUGCCUCUUACAAAUUCAGUCCAACCAUACUGCAAUCUGAGUUUUGGUCUGGUUGCGAUUUCACAUUUCAUUUCAACAGACCAAGUUCUCCCAUCCAAAACCCGAAGGAUAACGGCACCAGAAUGCUUACCAAGACGCCUCAUGUGGAUACACAAUUUUGAAGGCAGCCACUGAAAAUAAUCAAAUGAAGGAAAAGACGAUAAGCAAACAAAUUUGAUGGUCCAGGAUGGUUGUCUAUAGAGAACUUACCACAGAAUAUCCAUUGAUAUUGCGCUUCAUGGGAACUAUGAAAGAAGGGUUGUCAGAUUUGAAAGCAGUAGCUCUCCGAAUAGCUACAGCAGCUUUUCCUCUUGUAUUCGACGCAUGCAUCCUCCCAAGAACUGUUUGAGCUCAUUUUGGAGUGCUGGAUGUGCCUUCGCCAUGUCUUUUGGAUGCAAACUCAGCUUUGCAUGUCAAAGAACACAGUAGGAUAUUACAAGUUAGAACAGAAUGGCAGAAAGCACAAUAAGGUAAAAAAUUGGAAGCGAAACAUAUGUUGCAUAUUAAUGUUCAAAAUUUUUUUUUUCUGAUUUAGAUUUUAUUGACUUCUCAAACAUCAUUUCCUAAUGUAAUCAGAGUAUUUUUUUGGGUUUCUGGUUUUACCAGUUGAACUUGUUCUGUGCUUCUUAUGAGACCGAGGACAUGACAAUGGAGAUUUGUCCCAUGUUUUUCUUGAGGGGGGACAUGAUGUUAUCCAAGACUUCAACACAAUCAGAGUCCUCAUCAUCAUCCCAAGAACUAUUGCCGGAAUCAUCAUCUUCAUCGGUUUCUUCCAUCUCGGGCAUUGUCAAUGGAUAGUGAUCUCUGCAAAAUCCUUGUCAAAUAUACAAAUGCGGAAUGUUGAAUUCCCUUCAUAUCCGAAAACUAACGAAUGACAGCAGUCUAGAGAGUAAAACUUUGAGAACUUUGGCCAACCCUCGCCGAACCAGACCUCACCCUCCCAUAUUCUGAAUUAUAUUUUCCACUCUGAACCAGUUGGAAGCUUAAUAAAUACUGGAUUCGAAAGAUCAUCUCCAUAUUUCCUAAAAAAUUUGUUUGGAAUCCUCUGCACAACACAGAACUUAUCACGAAACUCUUUGUUUAGUGAAAACAAUUAUCGGAUCUUUGUGGCUAUGAAAUAUAUGGGUACAUUAACUGCAUCAAAUCCCAUUAAGUCAGACUCUUCAUUGUGAGAGGGGUUAAAUACUUUGGUGCCAUUUGAUAACCAUUUCAUUUUCAUCAAGGUAUUGAAGAGAUUUCAUGUGACAAAUGCUGCUUGGAAGACUCUCAAGUUCUCUGCAAUCAUUCAGCCUCAGAGUAACAAGAUUGGUGAGAUUUAAAACUGACGCAGGCAGCUCCUCAAUUGCAGUGCCACCCAAAUAAAGCUCAGACAACAUAUUCAUAACCUCUGAAAUUUCUGGAAAUUUCUCAAAGUUUUGAGGACCCAGAAACACAAGGUAUUGAAGAGAUUUCAUGUGACAAAUGCUGCUUAGAAGACUCUCAAGUUCUCUGCAAUCAUUCAGCCACAAGUGUAACAAGAUUGGUGAGAUUUAAAACUGACGCAGGUAGUUCCUUAAUUGCAGUGCCACCCAAAUAAAGCUCAAACAACAUAUUCAUAACCUCUGAAAUUUUUGGAAAUUUCUCAAGUUUUGAGGACCCAGAAACACAAGGUAUUGAAGAGAUUUCAUGUGACAAAUGCUGCUUGGAAGACUCUCAAGUUCUCUGCAAUCAUUCAGCCUCAGAGUAACAAGAUUGGUGAGAUUUAUAACUGACGCAGGCAGUUCCUUAAUUGCAGUGCCACCCAAAUCAAGCUCAGAUAGCAUAUUCAUAACCUCUGAAAUUUCUGGAAAUUUCUCAAGGUUUGAGGACCCAGAAACAUCAAGGUAUUGAAGAGAUUUCAUUUGACAAAUGCUGCUUGGAAGACUCUCAAGUUCUCUGCAAUCAUUCAGCCUCAGAGUAACAAGAUUGGUGAGAUUUAAAAUUGAUGCAGGCAGUUCCUUAAUUGCAGUGCCACCCAUAUAAAGCUCAGAUAGCAUAUUCAUAACCUCUGAUAUUUCUGGAAACUUUUUAAGGUUUGAGCACCCAGAAACAUCAAGGUAUUGAAGAGAUUUCAUUUGACAAAUGCUGCUUGGAAGACUCUCAAGUUCUCUGCAAUCAUUCAGCCUCAGAGUAACAAGAUUGGUGAGAUUUAAAAUUGACGCAGGCAGUUCCUUAAUUGCAGUGCCACCCAAAUAGAGCUUAGAUAGCAUAUUCAUAACCUCUGAAAUUUCUGGGAACUUCUUAAGGUUUGAGCACCCAAAAACAUCAAGGUAUUGAAGAGAUUUCAUGUGACAAAUGCUGCUUGGAACACUCUCAAGUUCUUUGCAAUCAUUCAGCCUCAGUGUAACAAGAUUGGUGAGAUUUAAAACUGACGCAUGCAGUUCCUUAAUUGCAGUGCCACCCAAAUAAAGCUCAGAUAGCAUAUUCAUAACCUCUGAAAUUUCUGGAAACUUCUUAAGGUUUGAGCACCCAGAAACAUCAAGGUAUUGAAGAGAUUUCAUGUGACAAAUGUUGCUUAGAAGACUCUCAAGUUCUCUGCAAUCAUUCAGCAAUAGCGUAAGAAGAUUGGUGAGAUUUAAAACUGACGCAGGCAAUUCCUUAAUUGCAGUGCCAUCCAAAUAAAGCCAAGACAGCUUAGUCAUAACCUCUGAAAUUUCUGGAAACUUCUCAAGAUUUGAGCAUCCAGAAACAUGAAGGUAUUGAAGAGAUUUCAUUCGACAAAUGCUGCUUGGAAGACUCUCAAGUUCUCUGCAAUCAUCCAGCGUCAAUGUAACAAGAUUGGUGAGAUUUAAAACUGACACAGGUAGUUCCUUAAUUGCAGUGCCACUCAAAUUAAGCUCAGAUAGCAUAUUCAUAACCUCUGAAAUUUCUGGAAACUUCUCAAGGUUUGAGCACCCAGAAACAUCAAGGUAUUGAAGAGAUUUCAUUUGACAAAUGCUGCUUGGAAGACUUUCAAGUUCUCUACAAUCAUUCAGCCUCAGAGUAACAAGAUUGGUGAGAUUUAAAACUAACGCAGGCAAUUCCUUAAUUGCAGUGCCACUCAAAUCAAGCUCAGAUAGAAUAUUCAUAACCUCUGAAAUUUCUGGAAACUUCUCAAGAUUUGAGAACUUAGAAACAUCAAGGUAUUGAAGAGAUUUCAUGUGACAAAUGCUGCUUGGAAGACCCUCAAGAUUUCUGCAACCAUUUAUAUUCAAGACAAGAAGCCCCGUAAGAUUACUAAUUGACGAGGGCAGUUCUUUAAUUCCAGCAGAAUUUAAAUAAAGCACUGAUAGAUCCUGCAUAACAUCUGAAACUUCGGGAAACUUCUCGAGGUUUUCGCACCCUGAAAGUGUAAGGGUUCUAAGAGAUUUCAUACCAAUCCUGCUUGGAAAAAUCUUAAGAUUUCCACAAUUUUCGAAAUCCAAAAGAACCAGGUUUUCGAGAGAUGAAAUGGAUGGGUGAACCUCAAGUAAACUUGUACAACUUCGAAAAACUACUUUCUCCAGAUUUUUCGCCUCCGUGAAGUCUGGAGUUUUCUUCAGGUGAGGAGAACUUGUUAAGUUGAUAAUUUUCAAAUUUUCCAGAGGCUGGUAUAACACAUCCAGGAAAACAAGUUAUAUGGUAAGGCAUCUAAGAAUUAAACCACUUAAAAGAAACAUAAGCAAGUGAAGUUUUUACCUUGGCUCCUUCCCAAAGAUGUUCAAUGAGACUAUUUUGCAUGUCAAGCUCAACAAGAUUCUUCGCAAUAAAAUUGGACGGUAAAGACUUUAGGGGAAAAUGCUUCCAUAUGAGACUUCUUAACUCAUGCGGAAGAAACUUUAAAUUCUCACAUGAAUAUCCACUGUCGCAAUGGAUUUUGAGCAAUCUUAAUUUCGUCAUUUUAACAAAAGCUUCGGAACUUAAGUAUACCACUUCUGGUUUUGAGAAUGAAGGGUCAAGGAUUAUACUUUCAACAGCUUCCGUAGCCUGGAUUACAAAUAGUUCAAAUUAUGUGACUGCAGAUAUCCUGAAUCUUAUUUAACAUUAUAAAGUUAAUGCAUGUUUCUAUGAAUUGUAUUUUGGUCAAAGUUAAAGCUGUUUACUCUAAAGAUUUACAUAUGAAAAACAAGGUCAUGAACAUAUCGCACCUUAUUUUGAGUUAGCACAUGAUGAACAUCUUCAUAAUUCCACAACCUACUGCGUUUCCCAGGCUCUUUAAUGGAUUCUUGGCGAACGAUUUCCCGACCCAUUUCCUCUAGUAAAUCAUGCAUCUCCAAUUUUUCCCAUGAGACAGUUAUAUGAGCACCCAUUUCCUCUAGUAAAUCAUGCAUCUCCAAUUUUUCCCAUGAGACAGUUAUAAGAGCUCGAUCAAUUAGAACUCUUAGCCCAGUAUGGGGAUAAAAGCCACAACCGUCCAGAACCUUUGUUGCGUUGUCUUUUUCCGCUCCUUUAAAGAAACAUGCAAUAUCCAGAAAUAUGUCCUUCUCAGAAUCAUCUAGUCCAUCGAAGCUUGUUCUUAGCACAUCAUGAAUUCCCCUCUGCGGGAUUUUCUUUAAUUUCUCUAGCACCUCUUCCCACUCCUGUACAGAUUUGUUAUAAAGAAAAGCCCCCAAGACUUUAAGUGCUAAAGGGAGACCUUGAGCAUAUCGUACAGCACGGCUUGAGAGAUGGUCAUAGUCUCUUUUGGGUUGCUUUGUUCGGAAGGCAUACUGGCUAAAGAGUUCCAAAGCUCCAUCACCACUUAGAACCUUGGGGCUGUAGAUCGCAUCAGCUCCACUUAGUACUAGCUUAUCUCUAGUGGUGAUAAUGAUUCUACUCCCACCACCAAAUGAAUGUUGCUUUCCAAGUAAGGUUUCAAUUUGAAAUAAGUCGUCAACAUCAUCAAGAACAAUCAAAACCUUUUUCAGCUGUAGCCUUUUCAAAAUCAUUCUGUAACCUCGAUCCAAAGUGCCUAAACUCUGCACCUUUUCAUUCAGGAUUCUAGAGAGAAAUUUUUCCUGCAUAUGUACGGCACCACAAGUGGAGAAUUCUUCCUUAACAUUGUCAAGAAAGCAACAAGCUUCAAAUUGACAAGCAAUUUCCUCAUAAACAGCUCUAGCUAUGGUGGUUUUGCCUACACCACCCAUACCCCAUAUUCCAACAACACGAACGUCGUCCAUUUGAGGAGCAGGAUGUAAUAGCAAGUCCAUUUCAUGCAUGUGGGAAUCCAUUUCAACCAAGUCAUCGUCUUUACUUGACGAGGUGCGGAUCAAUUUCUGAAAAAUAUCUUUUACAAUUUCCUCAAUGAGCUUCACAUCAUCCCUGUGGAAUAAGAAAAACAUUUUUGUAAGAGUGAGAUCAAGAGCAAGUGCAAACCGUAUACAUAGUCAUACAUUUGCUAGGAAAACAUGACAAAUAAUUAAUACUAAACGUUAAAAAAAUCCCAAAUUACGAAACUACAAUAACUAAAUAUUACUCAUAAUUUUUCGAAUCCCAGCCGGAUAAAUUGAUGGCUCGACUAAGAGCGGACCUCCACCUCCGCACCUCUUCCAUGUCGGUGUUUGAAUGGCCUUCAUGCUCGGCAAAAGCUUCCUCAAAGCUCCUCUUUGCUUUGCGGACAUCAGAAGGAUCCACUUGGUAAAAAACGGGCACAACCAUCUGGUUCUUUCGAUCCAUACAAUCCAGUAUUUGGACGAGCUCCUUCAAGCACCAUGUGGAAGAAGCAUAGUUUUGAGAAAAAACUACGAUUGAAACGCGCGAAUCUUGGAUCGCCGUCAGUAGCUGCAAAAGGUCGUUGCCCUUUCGGAGCCCUUCGGCAUCAAUGAAGGUGUUGAUUGCUUUCUGAUUCAGGGCUUUGUAGAGGUGGCUGACGAAGCACCUGCGAGUGUCUUCCCCUCUGAAAUUGAUGAACACGUCGUAUUUCCAAGGAGAGCCAGAGGAAGAAGAAGAUGCAGCAGCAGCCAUUAAUCGAUCGAGUAAUGUAAGAACUGAAACACUCAAUUGAUCUUCACACUGAUCUGCACAUUGAUCUACAAAGGAAGCAAUGAGAAAAUGACGACCUUUCUAGCUGUUGAAGCCAAUAAGUCAAUGACGACCGCAUCACGCGUUUCCAUGGUCCCUUGCUUUUGGGAACCGACUUCUUCAAUCCUUUGGGCCUCAACACGAUUGGACCUAGACGGGCUUAGUUGUGUCUGAAGAGGAGACUAACGCAAUAAAUUUCAGGGGCGUAUAUACUUGAGAGUUAACAUGGUUAUUUCUUUGCAAAUACCAUACAACCUGUAAACGAGUCGGGUUUAUUGGGUUUGGGUCGGGUUCAAACUGACCCGUUAAGUUAACAGGUCAUCCGAACCCAACCCGUUAAGCUAACGGCUCACUCGAACCCGACCCGUUAAGCUAACAGGUAAUCCGUUUCACCCGUUAACAAUUAUUAAUUUUUUUUUUUUUUGCAUAAGAGUUUAUAUUUUGUUGUUAAGACUUUAUUGAAAUUACUAAAAUAUCUUCAACUAACAGGUGUUAACGGGUGUUAACGGGUGCUAACGGGUCUAACGGGUUGACCCAAAGUGACCCGUUAUUUAAUGGGUUGUUAACGGGGUUCACCCGUUAGCGACCCGACCCGUGAAGCAUCCACCUAAAUACUAAUGUUAACUGGUCGGAUCGGGUCGAAUCGAGUCGGGUUAACAGUUCGGGUCCAAAAUGCCACGUCUAACCAUACUGACCAUAUUGUAUGAAGUUCAAUACUUUUGUCUUUGUCAUUAGGCAGCAACAUGCCUACAGGUUACAUCUAUUAUGUUAAAAUGGUUUUGUUUAUUGUCAUUAGGCAGCAACAUGCCUACAGGUUAUAUCUAUUAUGAUAUCUUAAUACUGAGUUUCCCUAAUGGACCUAUAUUGGUGUUUUAUUGUUCUAUGCAAAAUACGACAUGUACAUACUAUGCCAUAUAGAUAAUUUCUCUUCUAUUUUCUUUGUGUAGGCAUAUGAUCUUUAGUAUGAGAAAUUAAAUAAAUUUAACUGAAAAUAUGACUUUAGUCCCUGAAACUUAAUUUUUUCCACAUAAAACCCAACAUAAGUUUUUUAUUGGAAUAAAAUUCAUUAACUAAAUUCCAUAUCAGCAAAUUCAUUAAUUAUAUUUGACUUUACACAUUUAAAAAUUUUUUUAUGCCCAAAACACCUCUAUUUGAAUGUUUGAUUUACACAAUUAAUUCCAUACAAAUUGUAAGGGAGAAUUAAUGAUUUUACAAAAAUUAAAAAAAUAUUAAAUUCAUUGCAUAAUAUAUAAUAUACAAUAACAAUAAAACAUGCCUAAUAAAUGUAGUAAUACAUGCUUAGUUAAGUCAAUAAAAUUAUAUUUUACAUAUAAAUGUAGGUAAAUUAUUUAACACACACAUAUAUAUAACAACAACAAAAAACAUGCCUGACAUACAUAAAAAUUCAUGCAAAAUAAUUUUCCUACAUAAUAAAGCAAACCCAAAUAUAUGCAAAAUAAUAUACCUACAUAAAAAAAAUUAUUUUAUUCAAUACUAUUUAGCUAUUAUUUGUACAUAUAAUAAUAAAAAUGUGCCCAAUAUAUAUGAUGAUAUGACACGCCCCGACCCUGAUAUUCCCCGAAUACCAGGAUAGACACGUGCUGGCCGACACCCGAAGGUGACGAAAGCCAUUAAUUGAUACAAAAGCUGAGAAUAAGAAGUAAAUAAGGGUUAUUAAUUUAAAAACAAUGAAUUAAUAAUUUAGGAACGUGUUCAGAGCAUACAACUAUACCUAAUCACUAAAAAGAAUUAAGAUAAAAUUAAAUGAAAAAAGGAGUAAGUCCUACAUCGAGAGGAUCCGAAGAUGCUGCUAUAGAAAUGCUUUGACGCUGGGAUUAGGUGCCUUGAUCCUAAGUCCUGAAUGGGGACGCAAAACAAAGGUGAGUGGACCAAGUUUAUAUAUGUAAUAAAAAUAAAACAGUUAUCAAGAUACUAACCCCCACAGUUUAUAUAAAGAAAACUACUAACAUAAUAAGUAAUAGAUUUAAUAAAAAUCCUAGCAUGCCAAAAAUAUCUCAAAAGUCAUAUCGCGGAAUAUCAUCGCAGAAAUCAAAACAGCAAACGUCUCAUAGAUCGUCUCGUAAGCGCAGUGUGCUGCUAAAAAGAUCACUAAAUAAAUAUAACUCCCGGCCCAAUGCCUGCUCCGUGGUCUCUGCGCCCGUAGCUAGAGAUUACCAACUCCCAGCCCAAUGCCUGCUCCGUGUCCCUCAGCCCGUAGCUAGGGAUUAUUUCUCCCAGCCUAAAUGCCAACACCAGAUCCUCGCCCCAGGCGGCAUAGUGUCCACUAGGUACGCACAAAUAGUUACGCCUCUAAAAAAUAAUCACUUCAUAGUAUAAAGUCAUUCAUCAUCUAUACUAUAAAGAGAGGUUUCGAAAACAUGUUUUAGCAUCCUAUCGUCAUCCAUCAGAUAGUCUACCAGUUCAUGGUUUUUAUAGAAAAUACGAUAUAUUAAAAUAUAACUCAAUAUAGGCCAACAAUUAAUUCCUCACCAAAAACACGAGACGAAAAUCAAUAUAUUUAAUAAACAGGCUUGACAUCAAUCAAAUCAUAAACUCGUAGGCAUGCUAGUCAUUUAUGCAAUUAAACUAUAAAAUCAUGUAAUUUUAGAAGGGGUCCACUCACAGUACUUCGCCGUCGAAAAGUCACACAGCUAGCGAAGACAGAAACGCCACUAUAAUUGCCCCUAAGCACAUAAAGAGUCCAAUAAAUAAAACUAUACAAUAGCAAUUGAAUUUGGGAAAACGAACAUUGGAAACAGAUUCAGAACGUCGAAUUACCCUAAGAAGGGGCCCAAUUAAAUUUCAUAAACGUCGAUAGAAUAUUCCUAGAAUAUUCCCUGACGGAAUAUUCCCUAAUAGAAUAUUUCCUACAAAGGGUUUGGACCGGUUAGGUUUAAGGGUUUAGGGUAAUGGGGUUUAAAGGGUUGGCUUAGGAUGCACAGGCCUAAGGCCCUAAAGGAAAAUGGCCUAAAGGCCUUUGGUUUAGUAAAUAAAAAUAAAAACAACUUAAAGUACAGAAUUUUUGGGUUUUAAGGAGGACGGGCCUAAGACCCUGGUUUAAAAUGGCCCAAGGGUCUUUUACAUUAAAACAAUAUUUAAAAUAAAUAAUAAAAACUGAAAUGGGUUUUGGGUUGGGCUCGACAGGAAAGGCCCAAAGGGAUUGGGUUUGGUGGGUCGCCAGAUUUAAAGGGAGGAGAAGGCCGGAUUUCGGCCGGAGAAUUCCCAAGCUCCGAUGGAGCUCAAAACUCAACCAAAACAUGUCAUUCAAUAUACCAAAUUGAAGCCCCAAAAGUAAGGAAUCGAAAUAUACCCUUGGUUCCCAUCAUCGUGGUCGGAGUUCGCUGAAAAAUGGCCUGGAAAGCACGGGUUUGCCGAGAAAAUUGGGCUUUCCGCCAGAAUUUGUGGGCAACAUUUAAACAUCAAUAACUUUGUCAAUACUUAACGAAAUCAAGUGAUUCAAAUAUGAAAGUUGUAGCCCUCGAAGAGACGAAGAGAAUGGUACCUUACACGAUGUCUAACUCGCCGUGUUUUGGCCGGAAAAUGCCUCGAAAGUCUCGGAGGUCGUCGGAAACUGGGUAAGAUUCAAAUGAGUAUAACUUCUUCAAUACUCAACAAAAAUGAGUGAAACAAAAAGGAAAGUUGUAGUUCUCAGUGAGACGAAGAGAUUAAUACCUUACACGACGGCCAACUCACCGUGGUUUGGCCGAAAAUUACCUCGAAAGUCACCGGAGUCGUCGGGGGAGACUUGGGUGUUCUCUGGGUGUCCCAGAGCUUCGUCGAGAUGGGGGAGAGAGAGAAGAAAGUUCCAUAGGUGAUGGUGGUGGCGUAGCUAGGUAGUUGUGGUGGUGGGUGUGUGUGUGUGUGGGUGCUCACGGUGAUAGAGAGGGAGAGAGAUAAGGGAGAGAAAGAAGAGGGCUGAGAGAGAAUGAAGAGUGACGGGAAUGGGGGACACAAAACAGAAGGUGGGCCCCUUGGGCACACCAAGAAUUAAAAACCAUUUUAAAAGCAAGAUAAUCACAAACUUAGUGAAAAUACAAUUUAAAUUAGGGGUGGGUGUAACAAUCUACCCCCCUUAGACCAUCUCCAACCCUGGGCUAAAAGCCAAAUUACCCCCCCCAAAUUACCCCCCAAACACUCUCCAAUCCAUGCUAAAAUUUUAGGCUAAAUGCCAAAUGCUAUUUCUGGGCCAAAUACCCCCCAGCUUUCCCCCCGGGCUAAAUGCGAAAUGUUUAUCGGAAUUUAAAUUUUUUUAGAUUAAAAUGUUCAUAAAAUUAAUUUCCAAUAAUCUACAUAUUUAUUUUAAAAAAAAAAAUUGAUUUAAGAAAAAAAUUUAGGCUAAUUUCAUUCUUUAAUAAUUCCGGGCUAAAAUUUUAGGGUAGAAGGGUUGGAGCAGAAAAGAUGUUUCUGGGCUAAAAGCUAAAUUUUCCGGGCUAAAAAAUUUGGCUUUUAGCCCAAGGGUUGGAGAUGGUCUUAAAAGAAUUUCGUCCUCGAAAUUUAAAAUCACAUACCACACUGGAAAUACUCGAAAAUAGGAAGAAAAAGAAUAAUAUACAUAUAUGUAACGAAGAGAUUAGGUAAGAGCGGUUGCACAAAAGGAAAAAUGUCAUCCCGUCGCGAUCCGGUUGCAAUGAUUCCAUCUUCCGUGCCUCCAGGCUCAUACUUUCUUUCCCCAUCAGUGUAAAAAAAUAGAAAACAUACUUUAAUAAAAUAUAAAGUUGAAAACACAAAAUAGCUUAAGGUCAGAUAACGUCAAAAUAGAUAUGUACUAACAUAUAGGUCAAAAACACGAACCAACUUAAAACUGAAAAGAAAAUAUUUUCUCCAAAACAUUUGUAACGAUAAAAACAAAUAACUAGUAAUGGAAAUCAAAAUACUUUUACCGAAAAACCAAAACUGAAAAUGAGAGUGGGUCUUGACGAAGCAUGCGAAACAUCACGUACUCCGAGAAUAGAUGUGUCUUUGGGUCGAGUCCCAAGAAUAACAAUUCCGAAUUUGCAUCAGCUGCUGUAGACGAAUCUUCUUGCCCACUUGCUUAACGAACCCAACAAAUAAGCUAUCGAUAUACCGGUCAGCCGCCCGUGAUAUCGAUCACACAUUUGUUGUCUCGAUAAGCAAGCAGUAAUUUCCUGAGGAUGAAUAAUUUCACACGUCGUAAAUUCGAUCCUCCGAAUACAAGCGCACACAACUCCUCUAACAACCAAUGUUGCAUAUAGCAACUUUCAUACCAUGUCACAAAAGUGCCAUACCCCAUACUGAACAAAACAGAGACUGUUGUCGUAAAACUCUAUCCAACACCAAGCAUCCUAUCCUCCUCAGUUCUUCCAAAUGUGACCAACUACUCCAGAAUUUUGCCAAUAAAUAACCCAUUUGAAAACUGUACAUUGGGAUUCAAGAGAAGUGGCUACCAUGUUAGUAGUAGACCCAAAAUCUCGAACCAAGCAAGCAAAAAACGAGAAGUCAUCUUCCUUAACAUGCAGUAUCUCUUGGGAACUGUUGUAGUGCUCAAUCCACCUCUCCAUUUUUGCUUAGUUGCAUAUUUCUAGUCAACCAAGGUCAAAGUUGGUGGAAAGAAGAACGACUCGCAAAUGGUCAACCUAAAAACAAAAGAGAGUACACACAUUUCGAGAAAAGUGUAAAGAUUAUCCAAUUUUCGCUUCGAUCGUCCUGUAGUGCCAUCCCAGAAUGCACCAAACAGAUCUGCUAGAAGUGUUUUAACAACCACGUACUCACAACAAUAAGGUUCAGAAGUGAAGCUGUGGAAAUAUACGUUGAGACGAACACAUCACAUCAUCAAAAAGGUCUACCAGAGUAAGAUAUGAUGGUUAUGAAUUGUAGCAAGAUAAUGAGUGGUGACCAUUCAAUUUAACAUGAAGAUAGUGAUGCAAUCUGCUGAUCACCUGCACUACAAUCUUCACCAGUUUCUUACCAAAAUACAGCUUAAACCUCAUACCCACAUGGAACUCUUUCUGGUAAGUCUGGUAAGCUUGUGAAAAGAUUAUGCUCCCAACAUUCUUGUCCAAAUCGAUAAGAAUUGGGCGCACACUUCCAUCAAAUCCAUCGAUCGUGAAUUCCCCACUAAUUGAGCGAGAAACCAUGUCGGAAAGGCUGAGAGAAUACUCCAGAAUUUGAGGGUCAAAACAAGUCCAUUACAAUCCAGAGUACAAGAUAUCGAGAUUUGAACUAGAAACCAUGCCAAGAACAAAGGUUUAUUUUUUAUUUUUACACCAUCCGUAUGUUCCGGCAUGAUCCAGUUCACAUUGAGAAACAAACAAGCGAAGGAAGGUAAAGAUGCAGAAAUAGAAGUCACUGUUUAUGAUUAUUUGUUAAAUCAUCACAGUAUGGUCAACUGGUUUCUUAACCAAAAAGGAAAUAGGUCCAAACUCAGGAAUAUUUAAGAACUGAUAAUAAGAUUUGACGAGGCCAAAGACAAUUUGAAAUUCACAACACUUUAUGAGAGUUGUUUAAAGGUUCACAAAUUUAAAUAUAAAACCUCUGAAUCAACAUAAUGACGAAGAAGAAAGACACGAAGCAACCUGCGUAUGCAUGCAGUGACACGAUUAGCUACCUUAAAGUAAUGCUCUUGAGCAAACCAAGGCUCAAUGAGUCCAGAGAAGUUUAGAGCAAAGCUCGAUCUUCAUACAAUGAUGAAUAUGGAAGAGUCUCAAGCCAUUACACUGAAAAUUACAAGGUUGAACAUUUAGUGGACAAGAGUACUGAUCAGUUGGGCUACAAGCAAGAAGCUAAGUCCUUCUCUAUCGAAAAGUACAUGGACAAGGAGCUAGUGUUUUUCACCGAGUACCAAACCUAGGUGAAGCUCAAGGAAUCUGUUUAUCCAAACAAGUUUGGAUCUUCGUCAUCUAAUUCCAACUACGACAACAAUAAGAAUUACAACUCAUUUUGGAAAUUAAUGAGAAUAGUAUGUUACUAAGGAGUUUCCCGAGAAAAGCAAUUAAUGCAAAUGAAGUCAACACUCGAAGAAUUUGGUGUAAAGCUGACGGUCAAAGGAUAAGGAACUUGACUUCGUCGCUAGAGAAAUAAAAAAGGUUAUCGAUAGAAUAAUCGUCGAGGACUUGUUCUAAAUAUUUACACGAAUUUCUUCAGUGGUAAUGAAUCUGAUAAAAUUGCUUUCAUCCCACCAAUCACCACUUAUUAGACUUCACAACAAUUAGCAUUUGCCGCUUUCUCUAACACGCACUCCGAAUAUUUCGAGCAAUUUCCAAGAGAUAUGACUCUGCCCAUCAUUCCCAGGGAACGCAUGUCGCAGAGUAUCAUCCUAUGUUGAAAGUCGUCCAACAAUCCUCUUCAUCACUAUUAAGGUACAAUCCCGACACGAAUUCUUGAAUUUCAACAAGAAGGUGACAAUUCAAACAGAGAAAGGUUUGCACAAUUGCGCCGAAUGACACCAAAUCUAUAAGUCCUGACAUCCAAAUGAUGUCAAAACCGACACUAAAUGAGAAUUGAAUAGGAUCCUAAGUAUGCUCUAAACAAAUCACGCUCUGAUACCAAUCUGACAUGCCCCGACCCUGAUAUUCUCCGAAUACCCGGAUAGACACGUGCUGGCCGACACCCGAAGGUGACGAAAGCCAUUAAUUGAUACAAAAGCUGAGAAUAAGAAGUAAAUAAGGGUUAUGAAUUUAAAAACAAUGAAUUAAUAAUUUAGGAACGUGUUCAGAGCAUACAACUAUACCUAAUCACUAAAAAGAAUUAAGAUAAAAUUAAGGGAGUUUUAACGAAAAGUCCACGGUACUGUUCACUUUAACGAAAAACCAUAUUUUUACACUAAAAAGUCAAACCUGUUACUAUUCACUUUACCUUUUAUUUUGUCUUUAUCAUUAAAACUCAAAGUUUUCAAGUCAUUUUCAUUAGUUUUCCUUAAAAUUAAAUGAAUAAAGGAGUGAGUCCUACAUCGAGAGGAUCCGAAGAUGCUGCUACGGAAAUGCCUUGACGCUGGGAUUAGGUGCCUUGAUCCUAAGUCCUGAAUGGGGGCGCAAAACAAAGGUGGGCCCCUUGGGCACACCAAUUAAGAAUUAAAAACCAUUUUAAAAGCAAGAUAAUCACAAACUUAGUGAAAAUACAAUUUAAAUUAGGGGUGGGUGUAACAUGAUACAUACAAAAUAAAAUACCAACAUAAUGAAGAAAUGUUAUUUGAUUCAAAAUUAAUUUAUUUACAAAAUAAAGCAAUUGUAUUUUAUUCAAGAUUAAUUUACCUAUUAUUUGUACAUAUAUCUUAUAAUAAUAAAAUGUGUCAAAUAUAUGUAAUAAUACAUGGAAAAUAAAUUACAUACAAAAUAAAAGAAUGUUAUUUCAUUUGCUCAUCAUAAAUUUAAAUAUAGGUAGAUUAAUUAGUUUAAUAUGUUUGAUCAUAUAUGUAGUAUUGUGCAUGUAUAUGUAUAGGUAAGCUAUAUAUAUAUAUAUAUAUAUAUAUAUGUAGUACUACUAUACGUUCAUAUAGGUAAAAUGUAUGUGUGUGUGUGUGUGUAUAUAUAUAUUGAGCUUCUGGUAGUAAUAUAUACAUUUGAACGUAUAUAUGUGUAUAUAGUACUACUAUACGUUCAUAUAGGUAAACCAUUUAUGUCACAUCCCGUCCUGGGCCCCCACCACAUCUCGGACUCGACUCCACCGUAGCACGAUAUUGUCCACUUUGGGUCCCGACCACACCCUCACGAUUUUGUUUCUGGGAACUCAUACGAGAACUUCCCAGUGGGUCACCCAUCAUGGGAUUGCUCUCGCGCGAACUCGCUUAACUUCGGAGUUCCGAUGGAACCCAAAGCCAGUAAACUCCCGAAAGGCCUCGUGCUAUAUAGAGAUGGGAAUAUACAUAUAAGGCUUACAUGAUCUACUCCCCUGGGCGAUGUGGGAUGUUACAAUCCAACCCCCCUUAGGGCCCCGAUGUCAUCGUUGGCACAUUUCCGGCCAGGGAUUAACUCUAAUACCAAAUUGACACAUCCCGGCUCGGGCCCCCAUCACAUCCCGGGCUCAACUCAAUCGUAGCAAGAUAUUGUCCGCUUUGGGCCCCGACCACGCCCUCACGAUUUUGUUUCUAGGAACUCACACGAGAACUUCCCAGUGGGUCACCCAUCAUGAGAUUGCUCUCACGCGCAUUCGCUUAACUUCGGAGUUCCGAUGGAACCCAAAGCCAGUGAGCUCCCAAAAGGCUCAUGCUAGGUAGAGAUAGAAAUAUACAUAUAAUGCUUACAUGAUCCACUCCCCUGGACGAUGUGGGAUGUUACAAUAUAUGUGUGUUUGUGUAUAUAUAUAUAUAUAUAUAUUGAGCUUAUCGUAGUAAUAUAUACAUUUGAACUUAUAUAUGUGUGUGUUAGGGGUAAUAAUAUGUGCAAUAAUGAUAUUUUCAUUGUAAUUAGUAUUUAACUUGGCUCCUGAACAAUUCAGCAGCAUCAAAACUUUAACACGUGUCCACACGAGAUUGGGUAUAAGCAGGAGUGGCUGCUGAAUUGUUCAGCAACCAAGUCUUGUUCUUGUAAUUAAGGUGAGUAAUAACAUUUAUUGAUUUUAUUUUGAAUAUUGUGGUACAAAUCGUAAAUAUUUUGUAAUAAUAGGCCAAUUACUUCUAUAAUUGGCAUUCAUUUUUAAAUUUAGGUUUUUUUUGAAUGUUUAUAACUGUGGGUUUUUAUUUUGGAAAUAAAAGUUGUAAAAGUCUAUAGCUAAACCUAAGCUAAAAUCACAUUGACGUUUAAGUUCAUGGUAAUUGCACUAGAUACCCUUUCGGCUGGUCUGGGACCUGGGUUGUGGGGUGGGCUGGGCUGGGGAUGUGAGAAUGGCUUCUUUGUGAAUAUGGGCAAGCAAAGUUUACGUGGCUUCGCAUGACAGGUGCAACGUGGAAGUUCAUACACCAUUGAGCCUUUCAUCUUUUUUUUCUCGAUUUUUUUCUUUGAAUAGUAAUUGCCCUAUUGGAAGUCAACCCGUUUGUGAAAAGCAAGGGCAAGGCACUAUUAAAAAAAAAUUUAUUUUUUAUGUUUUGAUGAGUUUGUUUUAUGAAAAUAAAAUGAUUAUCUGAUUUCUAUAAUAUAUUUAAAAUACAAGGAAUGAAGAUGAUGGUUGGUACUUAUAGAAAAAAAUUUGGGUAUUUUUUUGGUAUUUUUUUAGUUUUUGGGUAUAUUUUUUGAAUUUUUUUACCUUUAGAAUAAUCUUGGCCGUUCAAAAUCCAAAAUUAUUUAUAUUAGAUGCCCCAAAUUGCGCUGCUUCGCAGCUGCAUAAAAUUUUGCAACUUUUUUUAUUAUUGGAAAUCCAACGGCACAAGUUCGAGGAAAAAUGAGUCAUUUGGCUUUGGGCUGUGCACGUGGGUGGGCCCCACUUUGUCGUCUCCUGUAGCCAGCAUGUGUAAGCUCAGACAAAAGUUGCAGGGGCAGCUGAAAGAGCACAAGCCCUUGGUCCAAUUGCCCUCCAUUUUUUGCACUAGUGGACCACCUUUUUGCAGCCAAAGGCAAUUCAACCCAAUUGCCUUUUCGCUUGGGCAACCGGUGGACUUGCUCUUAAGAAGGCAAAGGCAAGGGCAAGGGCACGUAAAUUGAAAGUGAUUACCUUUGUGUAAGUCCACCUGUUGAGUUAAAGGCGAGGACAAGGACAAUUCAUAUUUACAAAUGUGUUUUUUUUUUAAAGCAUAAUUAAGUGAUUUAAUAACUAGCGGUCACGUUAGAUUUUUGAUAUGGUAGUGAAGAAGAUGGUUGAGUGUCUAUAGAAAAAUAUAUAUUAUUUUUGUAUUUUUAAAUAUAUUUAUAUUUGAAUUUUCAUUAAUUUCUCUAAUUUUUUAAAACCUUUAUUCGAAAUUUUAAAUUAUUAAAAAAAAAAUUGAACAAGAUUAAUUUUUGUUGUUGAAUCUUAAGACCGUUUCAAAUCCAACUGCCCAUAAAAUGCCACGUGUAUAGCUGUUGGGGAGCUGAGUUGCUUUGAUAGCUUGGGGGCCUAUGAUAGCAGCAACAGUCAACCCACUAUCUCCCAUCACGCGUCAAACACAAAAAAUAAAAAAUAAAGAAUGUGGAUGACACCAUGUUAACGCCAGCCUUACCCACUAGCACAAGGCCGAGCUCAAGCUACUAGAGCUUUUGGACAGGCAUGUGUUGGCCCACCAAUUGCCCUCCACCAAAUGGACUGCUGGAAGUGGUUUUUUGGAGGACAAGAGCAAGGCAAGGGCAAGGGCACUAAAGUUGCUUACAAAUUUUAUAACUAUAAGAUCAUGAAAAAAUACCAUAGGCGAGCAACUUGCACAGGAUGAAUUAACAUUCAUAAGUAUAUUCACCAAAGAUGUCUUUCUUGCAGAGUUUAUGUUGCACACUCUAGCUUGCAAGACCAAAAUGUGUUAAUAUGGAGAACAACUUGCACAGGAUGAGUUCAACGUCACUUGAAGUCUCAAUCCAAUAAUAUCAUAUCACAUUGAAAAAAACUUAAACUUGGUAUGAUAUUAUUGAACUAGGACGCCCAAUAUCGAUAAUCCUGUUCCCAUUAAUAUUUCUCGUUAAUAAUGGGGGAUUUGGGUAUAGUAAGACAUUAUUGUACUAGGACGCCUCGGUAAACCUGUUCUCAAUUAAUAUAUCUCAUUAAUAUGAGGGAUUUGGAUUUGGUAGUUAGAGUCAGAGUAUACUACUGACACAUUGAUGCAUUCAUGUACCACUGCACUACAAUGACUUCAAGAACAAGCAAUAAGUUGUGAACUGAAUUAAUAACGAUUGAGUUGGCGGACUGAGCAUUUAAUUCUACAAGCACUUAAUUAGUUUGCCAGUCUACCUUCUUCAUGCUAGUCCAUAAACUGGAGCUGGGCUGAGUGAUCUGCUUGCUGACAACUUUAAAGCUUUGAAGCAGAUCUUCAAGCUUUUGAUGAACUUCAAAAAAUGGCUUCUUUUCACCGGAAAAUUCAUGACUUCUCUUCAAAAACACAUCUUAAAGCUCCCCAUUUUCUAGUAGUUAUUCGGAAGUCUAUUUGUACACAGACCAAACUUGUGAGUACCUCUCUUUCUCUAACCGUAGUCUGUACCUGCUUACAUUUAUGCAUGUACUCGUAUUGUCCCGGUUAGAUAUGUUUGUCUUUCUGGUUGCACAAAGUUUGAGGUCUUUCCAAGCAUUGAAGAAAGUAUGGAAGGAUUAAGAGAGCUUCACUUGGAUGGAACAUCUAUCAAAGAACUUUCCCUGUCAAUUGAACAUCUUCAGGGCCUGGUGUUAUUAAAUCUGAGAACUGCAAAAACCUUGUUCAUCUUCAAGACAAUAUCUGUAAUUUGGAAAGCCUCAGAGAUCUCAAUCUCUGCGGGUGCUCAAACCUUUCUAUGUUGGCUGUGAACUUGGAGGAUUUAGAAUCCUUGCGGGCGCUGGAGUAGAAAUGGUUGAGCACAGGGAUUAUAUUCUGUUCUUUUAAAUUGUAAAUUGUAAUACAUACUCCCAAUCUCUUGUUUUACUAUAGUAAUUGCUGGCACCAACCUGUUUUUCCAAUUUGCAAUAAUUAUGUCAAUUUGCAAAAUUAGCUGGCCACAAUAAUUAUAUCAAUUUCUACCACCUUUUAUUUUUGUUUUACCAUAGUAAGGUGCUGACCGUGUAGGAUGGAUAUGUUAUGCUAACAAAUUAAACUGAUUUAUUUUAAAUUAAAUUGAAACAAUCGGAAGACUCAUGACAUUAUGUGUGUAGGUUGAAAGGGUAAUGAUGCACAAUUGCUCUGCUGAAGAAAAAAUUGCAAGAUGGAAGGCUACACAGAGCAAGAAGCUGCUGUGGGCACCGGUGUAGAACAAGAAUGUAGAAAGUCAAGACUCACAGUUUCUAAAUAUCUCUCAUAUAUUGAUUCAAUGUAAUAAUCUUACAGUAUGCAGCAGUGUAUAUAUAGACAGUACACUGCUCUAAUUACAAUUAUAUCCUUGUCUAAUCUAUCUAUUUACAUAAGAAACUUAACACACAUCUAACUAAUUUUACUUGACUCUUUACACCCCCUCAAGCUGAACUUGGAGGCAUCGAAAGGUCCAAGAGCAAGCUUGGAUUGCAAAUACAGAAAUCUGGAUUUAGACAGAGAUUUAGUAUGAAUAUCAGCUAACUGAACAUGAGAACACACAUACUGGACUUUGAGAAGAUUAGCAAGGACCAACUCUCGGAUAUAAUGGUAAUCAAGUUCAAUAUGUUUGGUUCGAGCAUGAAAGACUGGAUUAGACGCAAGAGAGAUGGCAGACAGAUUGUCACACCAGAGAGAAGGGACUUGAGGAAGAUGAAGGCCAAGAUCUUUGAACACUUUACAAAUCCAUGUGAUUUCAGCAGCGGUGUGCGCUAACGAUCUGUAUUCGGCUUCAGUUGAUGAACGAGCAACCGUAGGUUGCUUCUUAGCACUCCAGCUAAUAAGAUUGGAUCCCAGAAAUAUGCAAUAGCCACUAGUAGAUCGGCGAUCAAAAGGGCAACCAGCCCAAUCAGCAUCAGAAUAGGCAGUAAGAUGAACAGUCCCUUUCUUGAACCACAAACCAUGACUCACAGUGGCUUUAAGGAAUCGGAGAAUACGUUUGGCGGCUUGAAGAUGGGGUUCUCGGGGAGCAUGCAUAAAUUGACAGACUUGAUUGACAGCAAAAGAUAAAUCAGGUCGUGUCCAAGUUAGGUAUUGCAAUGCACCGACAAUAGAUCUGUAUUCUGUGGGAUCAUGCAACAAUGGACCGGUGUGAUCAAGUUUAUGAGAGCCAAGAGGAGUGAGACAUGGCUUAGCACCAGCCAUGCGGGUCUUGUGAAGUAAGUCAGAAAUAUACUUGCUUUGAUGUAAGAAAAGACCAUCAGCAGAUCGCUGAACCUCAAGACCCAAAAAAUAAUGCAAGGGGCCUAAAUCCUUCACAGGGAAAACAGUACUGAGUUUCUGAAUGAAACGUUGACAAGCUGCAGUAUUAGGACCUGUGACAAGUAUGUCAUCAACAUACACCAAGACAAUAACAGGAACACCGUCUUGGAGCACAAAUAAAGAAGCAUCAGAUUGAGAUUGAUGGAAGCCCAAGGACUUAAGGACUGCAAAUAAUUUUUCAAACCAGGCCCGAGGGGCUUGCUUCAAGCCAUACAAGGAUUUGCGAAGCUUGCAGACAUGAUGGGGAUAAGUGGGAUCACUGAAUCCAGGAGGUUGCUGCAUGUAGACAUCUUCUUGAAGGUCACCGUGCAGAAAAGCAUUACUGAUAUCCAAUUGAUUGAGAAACCAGUCAUGUUGAACUGCAAGAGAGAGAAGAAUGCGAAUGGUGAUUGGUUUUGCAACAGGACUGAAUGUUUCCUUGUAAUCCAAACCAGCUUGCUGAUGAAAUCCUUUGGCCACAAGCCGAGCUUUGUAUCGAUCUAUAGUGCCAUCAGGAUGUUUCUUGACCCGAAACACCCACUUACAUCCAACAAUAUUUUGUUGGGAGGUAAAAGGAGCGAGAGACCAAGUGCCAGUGGACUGCAGGGCAUUGAUUUCAUCCUGCAUAGCAGACCGCCAAUGGAUAUGUUUAGAGGCCUGAAGAUAAGUAGUGGGGAUAAUAUCAACCGUAUCAGGUAAAGGGUGUUUGGUGGCUGAGUAGGCCUUGGGUUUAGAGAUACCAGCUUUAGACCUAGUGAUCAUAGGAUGGGUAUUAGGGACGGAAGAAGGCUCAUGAGUAACAGGAAGAUCCUCUGGAGGUACCGAAACAUCAACAGGUACUGGAAGAUUUACUUGAGGUACUGGAACAUCACCAGGUGCAGGAAGAUGCACUUGAGGGACUGUAGAGGAACCAGAUUGAGCAGCAGGUAUGGUAAAUUGUAAAUUGACAGAGGAAUUCACUGGAGAAGGAUCAGUAAGAACAGGAGAUGCACCAGGAAAGGCAGAAGAUAAACUCUGAAAUGGAAAGGUAGUCUCAUCAAAAAGGACAUGCCGAGAGAUAUAGACACGUUGUGUGACUGGAUCAAGACAACGAUACCCCUUGUGUUGAAGACUAUACCCAAGGAAAACACAGGAUGUACUUCUGCUGGCCAACUUGGACGUAGUAUAAGGUCUGAGCCAUGGAUAACAACAACAACCAAAAAUUCUGAGCCGAGAAUAAUCUGGAGAAGUGCCGAAGAGAAGUUCCCAAGGGGAUUGCAGUACACCACCAAGGGGAAGUCGAUUAAUCAGAUAAGUAGCAGUGGAAAAGGCUUCAACCCAAAACCUAUGAGGCACUUGAGAUUGCACCAAGAGUGUACGAGCAGUUUCAACCAAAUGACGAUGUUUCCGUUCAACACAUCCAUUCUGCUGAGGAGUAUGAGGACAACUAAAUUGUUGGAAAAUGCCAUGAAGUUUAAGAAAAUGCUGAAAUUGGUGACUAGUAAACUCACCCCCUGAAUCAGAGCGAACAACCUUUAUUUAUUACCAAUAGCGUUCUCUACAUAGGACUUGAAGUCCACAAAGAUUGAAAAUACAGAGGACUUGGACUUUAAAGGAAAAUACCAGCUAUACUUGCUGUAAUCAUCAACAAUAAGCAAGUAAUAUCUAUAGCCACUCACUGAUACAACAGGAGAUGGGCCCCAGACAUCACAGUGCAACAGUUCUAGACUUGCAGUAGAUACAGAUUGAGGAGAACCAAAAGGAAGCUUGUGAUUCUUUGCUAAAGCACAGUCUUUGCAGAAGAAGGCCAGAGAGGAUGUGCCAUGGACAACAACUUUAUUGGUAGACAAAACUUUACGAAAAAUAGCAGAAGAUGGAUGACCAAGUCUGCUGUGCCAUAUGCGAACAUUAGCAGCAGUACUUACAAGGGCAGUAGGAGAAUGAGAGACAGUGGAGAGAGCAGGUGAACCAUGAAGCGGAAAGAAUCCAUCUUUAACUUGGCCCCGCAAAAGCGUCCUCCCCGUAAAACGAUCCUUGACAGAGGAUCCAUUAAUAUCAAGAGUCAAAGAACAAUUAUUAUCUUUAAUAAACUGAUAAGCAGAGAGAAGACUAUGCUGCAUUUGAGGCACAUGAAGAACAUUGUGCAGUUUAAAAGAGUGAGCAGGAGUAUGUAAAAUAGAUGUGCCAAUAUGAUCUAUAGACAGACCUUUACCAUCUCCGAUGUACACCUUGUCUUCACCAUGAUAGGGAGUAGGAGAUUGGAUAUUGGAUAUAUCAUUCGUAAUGUGAGAGGUAGCACCCGAGUCGAUGAGCCAAGAAUUGGAGGACUUUGCAGUAUAAUGAGCACACAUGGCAGCAAGUUUAGCUGGAGAAAACUUGCCUGAGAUUUCUGGAUUCAUUCGGUCGAAGCAAUCAAGAGCUUCAUGACUGGUAGAACCACAAAUUUGACAAGAAGUUUUGUGACCGGAAGAAGAAGCAGGACGAUUGAAUCCAGAAUUAUAAGAUCCUCGAUUGAAACCAGAGUUGAAAUUACCACGAUUGGAACCACGAUUGUAGUUGCGAUUAGAACCACGGGAAAAUCCUCGGUUAGAGCCACGAGUGUAGCUUCUGGUAGAAUUAUACCGAAAAGAAUUCUGAAGUGGUGAUGCGCCAGGAUUUGGAGCAACCAGAGCGUGUGGUGGUGGUGUAGGAAGGAGAGGCGCUUGGCUUUGCACAGAGAAAGCAUGAAAAGGCUCAGAAGAAGAAGAUUUCUUGCGACGCUCCAUGGAUAACUCCUUAGUGAGCAACAAGCCAUGUAAUUCAUCCAACGAGGUAGAAGAAAGACGAAGUAAGAUAGAAUCAGUGAAAGAUUCAAAAUCAUCAGUGAGACCGGCAAGAGUCGCAGCAAUGAGAUCACGAUCGGUGACAGAGGCACCAGCGGCAGUGAGAGAAUCUGAGAUCUCCUUGAUUUGUUGAAGAUAGUCAGCCAUGGAUUGAGAGCCUUUCUGAAUAUUUUGAAGCUUCGAACGCAAUUGAUGAAUGUGUGCAUCCGAGACACCACCAAAACGCUGCUCAAGUUUGAGCCAGAGAUCACGAGCAGAGGAAACACCGACGGUGAACGGAAUGAUUUCCUCAGAAAGCGUCGAAUUGAACCAGAUAAGCAGAUUCUGAUCUUUCUCAUACCAUUGCUCAAAAUGUGGAUUGAUUGAGCGAUCUGGAAGAAAGGGAGAGGGACAGGGCUCAGUGCCAUCAACAAUCCCUAGAAGCUUGUAGCGACGAAGAAUCGGAGCAAACAAGGCCCGCCACGGCAGAUAAUUGGAUCGCCGGAGCUUGAUCGGAACCAUACUGCCAAUGUUCUGAAUCGUGAGAGAAUGAUACAUCUGAGAGGUAUUGAGAUUUGGGGAAGAAGAAUUAGGGUUUGAAGGAGGCACCGACUCAAUUGGAGAAGAAGAAUCAGAGGGAGACGCCAUCAAGAUGCAAGAAAAAGAAAUCAAGAAUCUGAAUCAGACGCAAACAAUCACGUCGGAGAAGACGAUCAGAGAGGAGCGGAAGAUCGAAGAAGAAAAUUGCAGGAUCGAAGAGAGGCCGUGAGGCGGUUUGGCGAUGGUACCAUGUAGAAAGUCAAGACUCACAGUUUCUAAAUAUCUCUCAUAUAUUGAUUCAAUGUAAUAAUCUUACAGUAUGCAGCAGUGUAUAUAUAGACAGUACACUGCUCUAAUUACAAUUAUAUCCUUGUCUAAUCUAUCUAUUUACAUAAGAAACUUAACACACAUCUAACUAAUUUUACUUGACUCUUUAAAGAAUAUGUGGCACAGGUAAUUUUGCAAGCUUGGCAUGAAUCUACUGAUUAAAACAAAACCAAAAUUUGGGCUUCUUAGGAAACUCAUACGCAUUCAAUUUUCAAAAUGAAGAAUUGGGCUUGAAGUCAGAUUUCGUUGUAUGAACUUUUGAUUUGGUAGAUUUUCUUAACGGAUUUGAUCAGAGUUGUGAACUUGGUAAAUUUAUGUUGUUGAUAGAAUGCCUACGACUUUUCAUGGUUAUCAUUCCUUUAAUAACUCAUGUGAAGAUAUAUGGUUAUUUGAUCGAAAUUAAUAGGUGAAUAUCUUUGUUCUGCAACUUUUCCUUUUAGCUGGAUUGAACAAUUCGUUCGCAGCAUGCUAUCGUGAUUUGUCUAUCCUUUGGUAUGAAGCUGAAAGUUGCAGUGCCUUUAUCCUUUUGAUUCACUCACUGUAAGCCUACUUAGCUCCCGCUGAAGCCCUUCAAGUCAAGCUAUCUACAGCUCGAAGUUUACUUUUAUUUUUAGAAAUGUUUAUUCAUUUUUAUUAUUUUCAGCUGAAAUCAAUAGAAAUGAACUUCAAUUUGAUGAUGGAAUGCAUGGAAAAUGUGGGGGAGAGCCUUCUCUCGCUCUCAAAUCCGGCGAAUCACGUCGCACCACCAGCGUUCCCCCGCUUUACUGAAGGUAAGCGAUUCAUCCUACUCGAAAUUUCAAAAAUUUGGAGGGUUUUGGUUCCUUUUCAAUACCAAUUAGAUAAUCAAUCUGUACGAAUGGAUUUGAUAGAUUGAAGCACUGUGGACCUGAUUGGAGUGUCUUUACUUACUUAGGAAAUUCAAGAAAUUAAGAAACAGCUGGAUGAAUAUCUUUUUGUAUUAUAUUAUUGUUCUCAUAACGAUUUUGGGUUCAACCACGUGGCGCCCAGAAGUUUGUCUUGGUGAUUAGAAAUGCCAUUGGCGGCCUACCCGCUUUCCUUUUUGCUUAAUUUAUCUUAAGAAUGUUUGCAUCCUAAUACAUCCUUUAAAUAUGUUAAUUUGUCCUAUUUUCUAUAAAAUUUUGAGCAAUGUGAAUGUGGGUUAUUCUCAAUCUUCAGAUGGUGAUCAUUUCACAAGUUUUGCAAACAUGGCUACUCAGCCUUUGACAUACAGAGUUGAUGAUGGGAGGAGCCAGGUGAGCUAGGAUCGGGGUUUGUAUCGUUCUAAAUUAUUCGUUAAGUUACGGAAAAAAGAUAUGGUUGUCCAGUCUAGUUUUGUAUUUUCAACAUCUUAAACAUUUUCCUUUGAUACCGCUUCGUUUUGAUUUGUAAACAAACUAUAUCUUUAUCUUGGGUCACAAUGUGAUGUUUAACAAUUUUUCAAAAACUUACAAUUCCUAUCACAUGCUCAAAUAUUAUGUCUUCUACUUUUCUGUUUUCCUUUUUUUGUGUUUUUCCCCAUGCAGUAAGCUGAUCAUCUGAAACUAUGAGUAUAAUACUAAUGACAAAAUACAAUCUACAAAUGAAUGCUUUCUAUAGCAUCAUUCUCUUCUAUUCGAAACUUAUUUAAAUUCACUUAAUUUUUUCUCACACUUAAUAUCAUAUCAGCUCGGUUUACACAAGAAAGUAGAAGAUACAUUAUCUGUGGCAUGCUAUGUACAUGUCGUAUUUUGCAUAGAACAAUAAAUCCGUUCGUUUCAUUGUCUUCCAUAUGACAAUGCUACUUAUCUCAAUAUAAGAAAAGAGAAGUAUAAUAUUCCAUUUUAUGCAAAGAAUUUGUUGUACGCUUCCAAGAAUAUAAAACACCAAUAUAGGUUCAUUAGGGUCACUCAGUAUUAAGAUAGGGAAUUGUUACUGACUUUUAAAAAAUCUUAUUUUGCAUUCCGAACUUUUUAUAAUUAAAAAGAAUAAUAGACUUGUAAGGAGUAUAGAAUAAGAUUCUUGAAGUGCUAAUAACAGUUUUAUUAAGAUAUCAUAAUAGAUGUAACUGUAGACAUGUUGCUGCCUAAUGACAACGACAAAAGUAUUGAACUUCUUACAAUAUGAUCAGUAUAUUAAUUGACAAGAAAUAACGAUGUUAGCUCUCAAGUAUAUACGCCCGUGAAAUUUAUUGCGUUAGUCCCUGAUGGUCCCCUGCUUUUGCUUUUCAUUAGUUUCUUUAUUUUUCUAAAAGGUGAUAAAGACAUGCACCUAGAAAAUGGAAACUGCACCUAAAAAACAGAACCGCGUGAUGUUGUCUGUCAUUGACUCAUUGACUUCAAAAGCUAGAAACGCGUGAUGUGGUCGUCAUUGACUCAUUACUUCCUUUGUAGUUCAGUGUGAAGAUCAAUUGAGUGUUUCAGUUCUUACAUUACUCUUAGAUACUCGAUCGAUUAAUGGCUGCUGCUGCAUCUUCUUCGUCCUCUGGCUCUCCUUGGAAAUACGACGUGUUCCUCAAUUUCAGAGGGGAAGACACUCGCAGGUGCUUCGUCAGCCACCUCUACAAAGCCCUGAAUCAGAAAGCAAUCAACACCUUCAUUGAUGCCGAAGGGCUCCGAAAGGGCAACGACCUUUCGCAGCUACUGACGGCGAUCCAAGAUUCGCGCGUUUCAAUCGUGGUUUUUUCUCAAAACUAUGCUUCUUCCACAUGGUGCUUGAAGGAGCUCGUCCAAAUACUGGAUUGUAUGGAUCGAAAGGACCAGAUAGUGGUGCCCGUUUUUUACGAUGUGGAUCCUUCUCAUGUCCGCAAAGCAGAGAGCAGCUUUGCGGAAGCUUUUGCCAAGCAUGAAGGCCAUUCUAACGCCGACAUGGAAGAGGUGCGGAGCUGGAGGUCCGCUCUUACUCGAGCCACCAAUUUAUCCGGCUGGGAUUCGAAAAAUUACGAGUAAUUUUUAGCUAUAGUAGAUUCAUAAUUUGGGAUUUUUUUUUCUUUUAACGUUUAGUUUUAAUUCUUUGUCAUGUUUUCCUAGCAAAUGUACGACUAUGUAUACGGUUUGCACUUGCUCUUGAUCUUACUCUUACAAUAAUGUUUUUCUUAUUCCACAGGGAUGAUGCCAAGCUCAUUGAGGAAAUUGUAAAAGAUAUUUUUCAGAAAUGGAUCCGCACCUCAUCAAAUAAAGACGAUGACUUGGUUGAAAUGGAUUCCCGCAUGCAUGAAAUGGACUUGUUAUUACAUCCUGCUCCUCAAAUGGACGACGUUCGUGUUGUUGGAAUAUGGGGUAUGGGUGGUAUAGGCAAAACAACCAUAGCUAGAGCUGUUUAUGAGAAAAUUGCUUGUCAAUUUGAAGCUUGUUGCUUUCUUGACAAUGUCAAAAAAGAGUUCUCCGCUUGUGGUGCUGUACAUAUGCAGGAAGAACUUCUAUCUAGGAUCUUGAAUGAAAAGGUGCAGAGUUUAGGCACUUUGGAUCGAGGUUACGGAAUGAUUUUGAAAAGGCUACAGAUGAAAAGGUUUUGAUUGUUCUUGAUGAUGUUGACGACUUAUUUCAAAUUGAAACCUUACUUGGAAAGCAACAUUCAUUUGGUGGUGGGAGUAGAAUCAUUAUCACCACUAGAGAUAAGCUAGUACUAAGUGGAGCUGAUGCGAUCUACAGCCCCAAGGUUCUAAGUGGUGAUGGAGCUUUGGAACUCUUUAGCCAGUAUGCCUUUAGAACAAAGCAACCCAAAAGAGACUAUGACCAUCUCUUAAGCCGUGCUGUACGAUAUGCUCAAGGUCUCCCUUUAGCACUUAAAGUCUUGGGGGCUUUUCUUUAUAACAAAUCUAUACAGGAGUGGGAAGAGGUGCUAGAGAAAUUAAAGAAAAUCCCGCAAAGGGGAAUUCAUGAUGUGCUAAGAACAAGCUUCGAUGGACUAGAUGAUUCUGAGAAGGACAUAUUUCUGGAUAUUGCAUGUUUCUUUAAAGGAGCGGAAAAAGACAACGCAACAAAGGUUCUGGACAGUUGUGGCUUUUAUCCCCAUACUGGGCUAAGAGUUCUAAUUGAUCGAGCUCUUAUAACUGUCUCACAGGAAACACUGAAGAUGCAUGAUUUACUAGAGGAAAUGGGUCGGGAAAUCGUUCGUCAAGAAUCUAUUAAAGAGCCUGGGAAACGCAGUAGGUUGUGGAAUUAUGAAGAUGUUCACCAUGUGCUAACUCAAAAUACGGUGCGAUAUGUUCAUGACCUUCUUUUUCAUAUGUAAAUCUUUAGAGUAAACAACUUUAACUUUGAUCAAAAUACAAUUCAUAGAAACAUGCAUUAACUUUAUAAUGUUAAAUAAGAUUCAGGAUAUCUACAGUCACAUAAUUUGAACUAUUUGUUAUCCAGGCUACGGAAGCUGUUGAAAGCAUAAUCCUUGACCUUUCAUUCUCAAAACCAAAAGUGGUAUACUUCAGUUCCGAAGCUUUUGUUAAAAUGACGAAAUUAAGAUUGCUCAAAAUCCACGGCGACAAUGGACAUUCAUGUGAGAAUUUAAAGUUUCUUCUGCAUGAGUUAAGAAGUCUCGUAUGGGAGCAUUGCCCCCUAAAGUCUUUACCGUCCAAUUUUAUUGCGAAGAAUCUUGUUGAGCUUGACAUGCAAAAUAGUCUCAUUGAACAUCUUUGGGAAGGAGCCAAGGUAAAAACUUCACUUGCAUAUGUUUCUUUUAAAUGGUUUAAUUCUUAGAUGCCUUACCAUAUAACUUGUUUUCCUUGAUGUGUUAUACCAGCCUCUGGAAAAUUUGAAAAUGAUCAACUUAACAAGUUCUCCUCACCUGAAGAAAACUCCUGACUUCACGGAGGCGAAAAAUCUUGAGAAAGUAGUUUUUCAAAGUUGUACAAGUUUAUUUGAGGUUCACCCUUCCAUUUCAUCUCUCAAAAACCUGGUUCUUUUGGAUUUGGAAGAUUGCAGAAAUCUUAAGAUUUUUCCAAGCAAGAUUGGUAUGAAAUCUCUUAGAACCCUUAAACUUUCAUGGUGCAGAAACCUUGUUAAGUUUCCCGAAGUUUCAGAUGUUAUGCAGGAUCUAUCAGAGCUUUAUUUAGAUUAUACUCAAAUUAAAGAACUGCCCUCGUCAAUUAGUAAUCUUACGGGGCUUGUUGCCUUGAAUAUAAGAGGUUGCAGAAAACUUGAGAGUCUUCCAAGCAGCAUUUCUCACAUCAAAUCUCUUGAAUACCUUGAUGUUUCUGGAUGCUCAAAGCUCGAGAAGUUUCCAGAAAUUUCAGAGGUUAUGAAGAAGCUAUAUGUGCUUUGUUUGGGUGGCACUGCAAUUAAGGAGCUCCCUGCUUCUAUUUUAAAUCUCACCAGUCUUGAUACUUUGAAUCUGAAUGAUUGCAGAGAACUUGAGAGUCUUCCAAGCAGCAUUUCUCACAUGAAAUCUCUUGAAUACCUUGAUGUUUCUGGAUGCUCAAAGCUUGAGAAGUUUCCAGAAAUUUCAGAGGUUAUGAAGAAGCUAUCUGAGCUUUGUUUGGAUGGCACUGCAAUUAAGGAGCUACCUGCUUCUAUUUUAAAUCUCACCAGUCUUGUUACUUUGAAGUUGAAUGAUUGCAGAGAACUUGAGAGACUUCCAAGCAGCAUUUCUCACAUGAAAUCUCUUAAACACCUUGAUGUUUCUGGAUGCUCAAAGCUUGAGAAGUUUCCAGAAAUUUCAGAGGUUAUGAAGAAGUUGUCUAGCCUUUAUUUGGAUGGCACUGCAAUUAAGGAGCUGCCUGCUUCUAUUAUAAAUCUCACCAGUCUUGAUACUUUGAAUCUGAAUGAUUGCAGAGAACUUGAGAGUCUUCCAAGCAGUAUUUCUCACAUGAAAUCUCUUAAAUACCUUGAUGCUUCUGGAUGCUCAAAGCUUGGGAAGUUUCCAGAAAUUUUGGAGGUUAUGAAGGAGCUAUCUAAGCUUUGUUUGGGUGGCACUGCAAUUAAGGAGCUGCCUGCUUCUAUUUUAAAUCUCACCAGUCUUGUUACUUUGAAGUUGAAUGAUUGCAGAGAACUUGAGAGUCUUCCAAGCAGCAUUUUCAACAUGAAAUCUCUUAAAUACCUUGAUGUUUCUGGAUGCUCAAAGCUUGAGAAGUUUCCAGAAAUUUCAGAGGUUAUGAAUCUGUCUAGCCUUUAUUUGGAUGGGACUGCAAUUAAGGAGCUGCCUACUUCUAUUUUAAAUCUCACCAGUCUUGUUACUUUGAAGUUGAAUGAUUGCAGAGAACUUGAGAGUCUUCCAAGCAGCAUUUCUCACAUGAAAUCUCUUAAAUACCUUUAUGUUUCUGGAUGCUCAAAGCUUGAGAAGUUUCCAGAAAUUUCAGAGGUUAUGAAGGAGCUAUCUAUUCUUUGUUUGGGUGGCAAUGCAAUUAAGGAGCUGCCUGCUUCUAUUUUAAAUCUCACCAGUCGUUAUACUUUGAAGCUGAAUGAAUGCAGAGAACUUGAGAGUCUUCCAAGCAGCAUUUCUCACAUGAAAUCUCUUAUAUACCUUGAUGUUUCUGGAUGCUCAAAGCUUGAGAAGUUUCCAGAAAUUUUGGAGGUUAUGAACGAGCUAUCUACGCUUUGUUUGGGUGGCAAUGCAAUUAAGGAGCUGCCUGCUUCUAUUUUAAAUCUCACCAGUCUUGUUACUUUGAAGUUGAAUGAUUGCAGAGAACUUGAGAGUCUUCCAAGCAGCAUUUCUCACAUGAAAUCUCUUAAAUACCUUUAUGUUUCUGGAUGCUCAAAGCUUGAGAAGUUUCCAGAAAUUUCAGAAGUUAUGAAGAAGCUAUCUGAGCUUUGUUUGGAUGACACUGCAAUUAAGGAGCUGCCUGCUUCUAUUUUAAAUCUCACCAGUCUUGUUAUUUUGAUGUUGAAUGAUUGCAGAGAACUUGAGAGUCUUCCAAGCAGCAUUUUUCACAUGAAAUCUAUUAAAUACCUUUAUGUUUCUGGAUGCUCAAAGCUUGAGAAGUUUCCAGAAAUUUCAGAGGUUAUGAAGGAGCUAUCUAUUCUUUGUUUGGGUGGCAAUGCAAUUAGGGAGCUGUCUGCUUCUAUUUUAAAUCUCACCAGUCGUGAUACUUUGAAUCUGAAUGAUUGCAGAGAAUUGAGAGUCUUCCAAGCAGCAUUUCUCACAUGAAAUCUCUUAUAUACCUUGAUGUUGCUGGAUGCUCAAAGCUUGAGAAGUUUCCAGAAAUUUUAGAGGUUAUGAAGGAGCUAUCUAAGCUUUGUUUGGGUGGCACUGCAAUUAAGGAGCUGCCUGCUUCUAUUUUAAAUCUCACCAGUCUUGUUACUUUGAAUCUGAAUGAUUGCAGAGAACUUGAGAGUCUUCCAAGCAGCAUUUCUCACAUGAAAUCUCUUACAUACCUUGAUGUUUCUGGAUGCUCAAAGCUUGAGAAGUUUCCAGAAAUUUUAGAGGUUAUGAAGGAGCUAUCUAAGCUUUGUUUGGAUGGCACUGCAAUUAAGGAGCUGCCUGCUUCUAUUUUAAAUAUCUCCAGUCUUGUUACUUUGAAGUUGAAUGAUUGCAGAGAACUUGAGAGUCUUCCAAGCAGCAUUUCUCACAUGAAAUCUCUUGAAUACCUUGAUGUUUCUGGAUGCUCAAAGCUUGAGAAGUUUCCCGAAAUUUUAGAGGUUAUGAAGGAGCUAUCUAAGCUUUGUUUGGGUGGCACUGCAAUUAAGGAGCUGCCUGCUUCUAUUUUAAAUCUCACCAGUCUUGUUACUUUGAAGUUGAAUGAUUGCAGAGAACUUGAGAGUCUUCCAAACAACAUUUCUCACAUGAAAUCUCUUGAAUACCUUCAUGUUUCUGGAUGCUCAAAGCUUGAGAAGUUUCCAGAAAUUUCAGAGGUUAUGAAGAAGCUAUCUGAGCUUUGUUUGGAUGGCACUGCAAUUAAGGAGCUGCCUGCUUCUAUUUUAAAUCUCACCAGUCUUGUUACUUUGAAGUUGAAUGAUUGCAGAGAACUUGAGAGACUUCCAAGCAGCAUUUCUCACAUGAAAUCUCUUAAACACCUUGAUGUUUCUGGAUGCUCAGAACUUGAGAAGUUUCCAAAAAUUUCAGAGGUUAUGAAGAAGCUAUCUGAGCUUUGUUUGGGUGGCACUGCAAUUAAGGAGCUGCCUGCUUCUAUUUUAAAUCUCACCAGUCUUGAUACUUUGAAUAUGAAUGAUUGCAGAGAACUUGAGUCUUCCAAGCAGCAUUUCUCACAUGAAAUCUCUUAUAUACCUUGAUGUUUCUGGAUGCUCAAAGCUUGAGAAGUUUCCAGAAAUUUUAGAGGUUAUGGAAAAGCUAUUUGAGCUUUGUUUGGGUGGCACUACAAUUAAGGAGUUGCCUGCUUCUAUUUUAAAUCUCACCAGUCUUGUUACUUUGAAUCUGAAUGAUUGCAGAGAACUUGAGAGUCUUCCAAGCAUCAUUUCUCACAUGAAAUCUCUUAAAUACCUUGAUGCUUCUGGAUGCUCAAAGCUUGGGAAGUUUCCAGAAAUUUUGGAGGUUAUGAAGGAGCUAUCUAAGCUUUGUUUGGGUGGCACUGCAAUUAAGGAGCUACCUGCUUCUAUUGUAAAUCUCACUAGUCUUGUAACUUUGAAUCUGAAUGAUUGCAGAGAACUUGAGUGUCUUCCAAGCAUCAUUUCUCACAUGAAAUCUCUUAAAUACCUUGAUGUUUCUGGAUGCUCAAAGCUUGAGAAGUUUCCAGAAAUUUCAGAGGUUAUGAAGGAGCUAUCUAAGCUUUAUUUGGGUGGCA
rnacentral:lncRNA from 1 species